GACGAACCGUGCGAACGUUGUUCGGAUUCACUGGGCUUAAAGGGCGCGUAGGCGGCUUCCCAAGUCGGGGGUGAAAUCGUUCGGCUCAACCGGACAAGUGCCCCCGAUACUGGGUGGCUCGAGGGAGGUAGGGGCAUGCGGAACUUCCGGUGGAGCGGUGAAAUGCGUAGAUAUCGGAAGGAACAUCAGUGGCGAAAGCGGCUUCCUGGACCAGUACCGACGUUCAGGCACGAAAGCGUGGGGAGCAAACAGG
rnacentral:rRNA from 1 species